rnacentral:pre_miRNA from 1 species
GGCUUUAAGGUCUGAUCCAAAGUCCACUGAAGUCAAUAGGAGUUUUUCCAUUGAUUUCAGUGGGCUUUUGAUCAGGCCUUAAAGCC